CAGGAGGAUCACUGUGAGUCCAAGGCCAGCCUGAACUACAUAGCGAGACCUUGUCUCAAAAAACAAACAAACCCAAACAUACCGGAGUGGAAAACUAUUGUUUUAAAGAAAAGCAUCGAGUAGAUAACAUAGAUGGAACAGGGAGGAGGCGUGAAUUGUUGGGCUGCUGCUUGAUGCCAGAGCUGGCAAAUGUCAGGCCGCAGUCUCCACCUGUUGGAGGUUAGCAGUCCAGAGGCAGGUGUGGCUCCGGGCGAGCGCUUACCCGGCCUGCACCAGGCCCAGCUUCCCUCCCCGUGGCUACAGAAACCAGCAAGCAAGUUCCUCAGGCUCCAAUACUCCAGGUGCACAAAGAGCUCGGAGAGGAUCUGGCGGCCAGGGAAAGCUGUGUGUGAGCUGGGACAGGGCCUCGGCCUGCAAGACAAACAACGCAAGGAAGACAGGAGACGGAGCCCUGCCAUGAGAACGGCAUGAAGGCCCAGUAACCAAGCUGUAUCUCUGGGCUGCUGGGUUUGCCUGGUGGAAGCAAAGAAUAGGACUGAAAAUAAGAAACUUGGAAAUCUGAGAAGUCCAAGGAGAGGAUGUUAGACUCCAUGUGGACUCUCAGGACAUAGGGAGCCACAGAAAGUGUUUGGGCGGCGAGUAACAGGCUGCAAGGACUCAGGUCGUGAGCAGCGGCGCUUGCUCUGGAUGAAAACUGUCCGUGUCCGGCCUUGCCCGCUGAUUGCUCUUUCAUCUCUCAAAUGGCUCUCCCAGGUCCUGGUGCACCACUCUGCCCCACGGCUUUGGCUGUGCAUAGACAUUCUCUUCGCCCACAGCAGUGCAGCGUUGGAGCAGACCGUCUGCCGCCAAUAGCUACAGAGACCCUGGGAGCUGGCCACAGCCCAAGGCGUCUGUCCAGCUCCUGGUCCUCCUCUUGGGGAUCUCAGUGCCGGAAGGAAGCAGGAAGCCCCUCAGGAUGCAGGCGAUGGUCUCUCCUCUUGCACCCCAACCACUGGCAAAGACCCAAUGCUGCCCCUCGUGUGAAGGGCAGACGCACCCCAGAGCCGCCCAGCUCCAGCUAGCCUUGGUGCUUUGGAGGCGGCUCCCCAGGCCCUGGCACCUUCCACAGCUCUUGCAUUCUGCGUGCCCCCCAGGCCUCCUCCCCAGAAGCUGACCUUGAAUUGGACUCCCA
rnacentral:lncRNA from 1 species